AUCCGGCUAACAAGUCCCUAAUAAAACGAAACGCGCGUCCUGGAU
rnacentral:hammerhead_ribozyme from 1 species